rnacentral:rRNA from 1 species
AAUCUUCCGCAAUGGACGAAAGUCUGACGGAGCAACGCCGCGUGAGUGAUGAAGGUUUUCGGAUCGUAAAACUCUGUUGUUAGGGAAGAACGAGUAUCGGAGUCACUGCCGGUACCUUGACGGUACCUGAUGAGAAAGCCACGUCUAACUACGCGCCAGCAGCCGCGGUAAUACGUAGGUGGCCAGCGUUGGCCGGAUAUAUUGGGCGUAAAGCGCGCGCAGGCGGUCUUUUAAGUCUGAUGUAAAAUCUUACAGCUUAACUGGAAGCGGUCAUUGGAAACUGGGAGACAUGAAUGCAGAAGAGGAGAGUGGAAUUCCAUGUGUAGCGGUGAAAUGCGUAGAGAUAUGGAGGAACACCAGUGGAGAAGGCGACUCUCUGGUCUGUAACUGACGCUGAGGCGCGAAAGCGUGGAGAUCAAACA